rnacentral:rRNA from 1 species
AGAGUUUGAUCAUGGCUCAGAAUCAACGCUGGCGGCGCGCCUAACACAUGCAAGUCGAACGAGAAAGUGGAGCAAUCCAUGAGUACAGUGGCGUACGGGUGAGUAACACGUGGGUAAUCUACCUUUUAGUGAGGAAUAACCGAGGGAAACUUCGGCUAAUACCGCAUAAGCCUGAGAAGGGAAAGCAGAAAUGCGCUGAAAGAGGAGCCCGCGGCCGAUUAGCUAGUUGGUGAGGUAAGAGCCCACCAAGGCAGAGAUCGGUAGCCGGCCUGAGAGGGCACACGGCCACACUGGCACUGAAACACGGGCCAGACUCCUACGGGAGGCAGCAGUGGGGAAUCUUGCACAAUGGGGGAAACCCUGAUGCAGCGACGCCGCGUGAGCGAUGAAGCCCUUCGGGGUGUAAAGCUCUUUCGUCAGGGAAGAUAGUGACGGUACCUGGAGAAGCAGCUGCGGCUAACUACGUGCCAGCAGCCGCGGUAAUACGUAGGCAGCAAGCGUUGUUCGGAGUUACUGGGCGUAAAGGGUGUGUAGGCGGUUCUUUAAGUUUGCUGUGAAAUCUCCCGGCUUAACCGGGAGGGUGCGGUGAAUACUGAGGGACUAGAGUACGGGAGAGGAAAGUGGAAUUCCUGGUGUAGCGGUGAAAUGCGUAGAUAUCAGGAGGAACACCGGUGGUGUAGACGGCUUUCUGGACCGACACUGACGCUGAGACACGAAAGCGUGGGUAGCAAACAGGAUUAGAUACCCCAGUAGUCC